CUAUGACAGCUAUCUUUCGUCAUUUAUAGAUCUUUUGUAUAAGGUUAAAUUACAGAAAACUCUCCUGUCAAAAUUCAAUUUUUUACUUUUCCUCCCUGUCAUUUAAAACUCUACAAUUUGCCCCCUUGUAAAAUAAAAAAUGUUCACAGAGGUACGAUGUGUAAAAUGACUAUUUUGCCCCUCACCAUUCUCGUCUCCUCCCUCAUCUUUCUCAACUGCCGUUUCGAUCGACUGCGAUUCACAUCUCGAUCGGCCGCGAUUAACACCUCGAUCGGCCGCGAUUUCUCUCCAUUUUCUUCUCCACCUGCUCCCCUUCUCCUGCACCCUCUGUCUGCCACCACGAAUGACGCACCUCGCACGGUCGAUGAAUUUUUCGGGGCCGUGGGGUAGUAUUCAUGAUUCAGAUUGAUAUUUAUAUGUAUGUGGGUAUCAGGUUUUGCGGGUCCAUGGCUUCCAAUAGAUGCAAGCAUCUACUGUUAAUUACCCCCUGUAGAUUGGGGCACCUUCGAUUAAGAGACCUUUAUAUCUUAGAUGAGAUGGAUCGUAUCUCGGUUUAUUGAAUCCUAAGUAUAUGUAUUAGGAUUCAGUUGGAUUUGAGGUUGAUUAGACCCUAAGUAUAUGUGUUAAGACCUAAUCGAUAUUAAACUCUAUGUAUUAGAGUCUAAUUGGUUCGUGAGAUAUGGGUAUGGUUCAUGGGAUUUGGUCCAUGAGGUUUGGUGUAUGGUUUGUGGGGUUUGGUCCAUGAGGUUUGGUUUUGGCUCAUGGGAUUUGGUCCACGAGGUUUGGUUUUAGUUCAUGGGAUUUGGU
rnacentral:lncRNA from 1 species